UACGAAGGGGGCUAGCGUUGUUCGGAAUUACUGGGCGUAAAGCGUGCGCAGGCGGUUUGUUAAGUCUGUUGUGAAAUCCCCGAGCUCAACUUGGGAAUUGCAAUGGAUACUGGCAGGCUGGAGUAUGGUAGAGGAAGGUGGAAUUCCCGGUGUAGCAGUGAAAUGCGUAGAGAUCGGGAGGAACACCAGUGGCGAAGGCGGCCUUCUGGACCAAUACUGACGCUCAUGCACGAAAGCGUGGGGAGCAAACAGG
rnacentral:rRNA from 1 species